UACGUAGGGUGCAGGCGUUAAUCGGAAUUACUGGGCGUAAAGCGUGCGUAGGUGGUUUGUUAAGUCUGCUGUGAAAGCCCCGGGCUCAACCUGGGAAUGGCAGUGGAUACUGGCAAGCUAGAGUGCGGUAGAGGGUAGUGGAAUUCCCGGUGUAGCGGUGAAAUGCGUAGAGAUCGGGAGGAACACCAGUGGCGAAGGCGGCUACCUGGACCAGCACUGACACUCAGGCACGAAAGCGUGGGGAGCAAACAGG
rnacentral:rRNA from 1 species